rnacentral:rRNA from 1 species
AGUGAACGCUGGCGGUAGGCCUAACACAUGCAAGUCGAACGGCAGCACAGUAAGAGCUUGCUCUUACGGGUGGCGAGUGGCGGACGGGUGAGGAAUACAUCGGAAUCUACUUUUUCGUGGGGGAUAACGUAGGGAAACUUACGCUAAUACCGCAUACGACCUACGGGUGAAAGCGGGGGAUCUUCGGACCUUGCGCGAUUGAAUGAGCCGAUGUCGGAUUAGCUAGUUGGCGGGGUAAAGGCCCACCAAGGCGACGAUCCGUAGCUGGUCUGAGAGGAUGACCACCCACAUGGGAAGUGAAAACCGGCCCAGACCCCUAGGGGAGGAAGCAGUGGGGAAUAUUGGACAAUGGGCGCAAGCCUGACCCAGCCAUCCCGGGUGGGGGAAGAAGGCCUGCGGGUUGUAAAGCCCUUUUUUGGGGAAAGAAAAGCAGCAGGUUAAUCCCCCGCUGUUCUGCGGGUACCAAAAGAAUAAGCCCCGGCUAAUUUCGU